CCUACGGGUGGCAGCAGUGGGGAAUAUUGGACAAUGGGCGAAAGCCUGAUCCAGCCAUGCCGCGUGUGUGAAGAAGGCCUUCGGGUUGUAAAGCACUUUCAGUGGGGAAGAAAGCCUUGGGGCUAAUACCCUCGAGGAAGGACAUCACCCACAGAAGAAGCACCGGCUAACUCCGUGCCAGCAGCCGCGGUAAUACGGAGGGUGCGAGCGUUAAUCGGAAUUACUGGGCGUAAAGCGCGCGUAGGCGGUCUGAUAAGCCGGUUGUGAAAGCCCCGGGCUCAACCUGGGAACGGCAUCUGGAACUGUCAGGCUAGAGUGCAGGAGAGGAAGGUAGAAUUCCCGGUGUAGCGGUGAAAUGCGUAGAGAUCGGGAGGAAUACCAGUGGCGAAGGCGGCCUUCUGGACUGACACUGACGCUGAGGUGCGAAAGCGUGGGUAGCAAACAGGAUUAGAUACCCGAGUAGUC
rnacentral:rRNA from 1 species